rnacentral:rRNA from 1 species
AGAGUUUGAUCCUGGCUCAGGAUGAACGCUAGCUACAGGCUUAACACAUGCAAGUCGCAGGGUUUGAUCAGGCGAAACGCUAGCUACAGGCUUAACACAUGCAAGUUCUAGCUUGCUGGCGACCGGCGCACGGGUGAGUAACACGUAUCCAACCUGCCCUUUACUCGGGGAUAGCCUUUCGAAAGAAAGAUUAAUACCCGAUGGCAUAUUCUUCCGCAUGGUUUCAUUAUUAAAGAAUUUCGGUAAAUCGAUGGGGAUGCGUUCCAUUAGGUUGUUGGCGGGGUAACGGCCCACCAAGCCUUCGAUGGAUAGGGGUUCUGAGAGGAAGGUCCCCCACAUUGGAACUGAGACACGGUCCAAACUCCUACGGGAGGCAGCAGUGAGGAAUAUUGGUCAAUGGACGAGAGUCUGAACCAGCCAAGUAGCGUGAAGGAUGACUGCCCUAUGGGUUGUAAACUUCUUUUAUAUAAGAAUAAAGUGCAGUACGUGUACUGUUUUGUAUGUAUUAUAUGAAUAAGGAUCGGCUAACUCCGUGCCAGCAGCCGCGGUAAUACGGAGGAUCCGAGCGUUAUCCGGAUUUAUUGGGUUUAAAGGGAGCGUAGGUGGACUGGUAAGUCAGUUGUGAAAGUUUGCGGCUCAACCGUAAAAUUGCAGUUGAUACUGUCAGUCUUGAGUACAGUAGAGGUGGGCGGAAUUCGUGGUGUAGCGGUGAAAUGCUUAGAUAUCACGAAGAACUCCGAUUGCGAAGGCAGCUCACUGGACUGCAACUGACACUGAUGCUCGAAAGUGUGGGUAUCAAACAGGAUUAGAUACCCUGGUAGUCCACACAGUAAACGAUGAAUACUCGCUGUUUGCGAUAUACAGUAAGCGGCCAAGCGAAAGCAUUAAGUAUUCCACCUGGGGAGUACGCCGGCAACGGUGAAACUCAAAGGAAUUGACGGGGGCCCGCACAAGCGGAGGAACAUGUGGUUUAAUUCGAUGAUACGCGAGGAACCUUACCCGGGCUUAAAUUGCAGUGAAUGAUGUGGAAACAUGUCAGCCGCAAGGCGCUGUGAAGGUGCUGCAUGGUUGUCGUCAGCUCGUGCCGUGAGGUGUCGGCUUAAGUGCCAUAACGAGCGCAACCCUUAUCUUAGUUACUAACAGGUCAUGCUGAGGACUCUGGAGAGACUGCCGUCGUAAGAUGUGAGGAAGGUGGGGAUGACGUCAAAUCAGCACGGCCCUUACGUCCGGGGCUACACACGUGUUACAAUGGGGGGUACAGAAGGCAGCUAGCGGGUGACCGUAUGCUAAUCCCAAAAGCCUCUCUCAGUUCGGAUCGAAGUCUGCAACCCGACUUCGUGAAGCUGGAUUCGCUAGUAAUCGCGCAUCAGCCACGGCGCGGUGAAUACGUUCCCGGGCCUUGUACACACCGCCCGUCAAGCCAUGGGAGCCGGGGGUACCUGAAGUACGUAACCGCAAGGAUCGUCCUAGGGUAAAACUGGUGACUGGGGCUAAGUCGUAACAAGGUAGCCGUACCGGAAGGUGCGGCUG